CACGUUCGAAUUAUUUAAAGAUAAGUUCACUGCAAGUGUGGGUCUAUCUAUAUUCGUCCAGCACAGCACCACCAACAAUAAUUAAGGGGACAUAAUUUGCCUUGAGAGAAAUUACGAUCGAUUACAACUUUGAUUUUAAUUCUCCUUUAAAAAACCAAAAAAAAAUAAAAAUUUGUGUACAGUAUAAUAAAAGUUAUGUUCCCCAACAGGAGGAAUAGGAGAUUUUCUCUUCUUCUUUUUUUUUUUUUUGUUGCCUUCUCCUUUUGACCCUAAAUCUCUUGUUAUUAUAUUUACUACAUACUGUACUGUACUGAGUAUAAUAAACAAGCAAUAAAAGCAUAGGAUGUAAAGCACCGUAAUUACCAGCUAAUUAAUUAAAUUACUACUCAAUUUGCACUGUGA
rnacentral:lncRNA from 1 species